rnacentral:rRNA from 1 species
CGGGCGGUAGCAAUACGUCAGCUGCAGACGGGUGAGUAACGCGUGGGAACGUACCUUUUGGUUCGGAACAACCCAGGGAAACUUGGGCUAAUACCGGAUAAGCCCUUACGGGGAAAGAUUUAUUGCCGAAAGAUCGGCCCGCGUCUGAUUAGCUAGUUGGUGAGGUAACGGCUCACCAAGGCGACGAUCAGUAGCUGGUCUGAGAGGGCGGUCGGCCACACUGACACUGAAUAACGGGUCAG